rnacentral:rRNA from 1 species
AUUGAACGCUGGCGGCAUGCCUUACACAUGCAAGUCGAACGGCAGCAUAGGAGCUUGCUCCUGAUGGCGAGUGGCGAACGGGUGAGUAAUAUAUCGGAACGUGCCCUAGAGUGGGGGAUAACUAGUCGAAAGACUAGCUAAUACCGCAUACGAUCUACGGAUGAAAGUGGGGGAUCGCAAGACCUCAUGCUCCUGGAGCGGCCGAUAUCUGAUUAGCUAGUUGGUGGGGUAAAAGCUCACCAAGGCGACGAUCAGUAGCUGGUCUGAGAGGACGACCAGCCACACUGGGACUGAGACACGGCCCAGACUCCUACGGGAGGCAGCAGUGGGGAAUUUUGGACAAUGGGGGCAACCCUGAUCCAGCAAUGCCGCGUGAGUGAAGAAGGCCUUCGGGUUGUAAAGCUCUUUUGUCAGGGAAGAAACGGUUCUGGAUAAUACCUGUGACUAAUGACGGUACCUGAAGAAUAAGCACCGGCUAACUACGUGCCAGCAGCCGCCGUAA